UACGUAGGGGGCAAGCGUUGUCCGGAAUUAUUGGGCGUAAAGAGCGCGUAGGCGGUCCGAUAAGUCGGCUGUGAAAGUCAGGGGCUCAACCCUUGAAAGCCGGCCGAUACUGUCGGACUAGAGUCCGGAAGAGGCAAGUGGAAUUCCCGGUGUAGCGGUGAAAUGCGCAGAUAUCGGGAGGAACACCAAUGGCGAAGGCGAGCUUGCUGGGACGGUACUGACGACCUGAGG
rnacentral:rRNA from 1 species